UUUUUUUUUUUUUUUUUUUGCUUUUUAGGGCCACAUCCAAGUCCUAUGGAAGUUCCCAAGGCUAGGGGUUGAAUCAGAGCUGCAGCCGCCAGCGUAUGCCUCAGCCACAGCAACGCGAGAUGCGAGCUGUUUUUGUGACCUAUACCAGAGCUCAUGCAACACCAGAUCCUUAACCCACUAAGCGAGGCCAGGGAUUGAACCCGAGUCCUCACAGAAACCAGUCAGAUUUGUUUCCACUGAGCAAUAAUGGGAACUCUUGGUCUCUAGUUUCAAUGGACACACUGCUGUUGAGUCCCUUCCUCUACCAAGUGAUGGCUGAUCUCAGCAUCUUUCAAAAGUAGUGUCUGACUCAUAAAAUAUUACUACCUAUAUUACUAUUAUUAGUGCAACUGUCUUUAGUUGAACACUUACCACAUAGAAAAAGCUUUGGCAUUCAGAGUUCCCACUGUGGCACAGCAGAAACAAAUCCAACUAGGAACCAUAAGGUUGAGGGUUCAAUUCCUGGCCUCGCUCAGUUAAAGGUUCCAUGUUGCUGUGAGCUGUGGCAUGGGUCACAGACAUGGCUCGGAUCUGGCAUUGCUGCAGCUGUGGUGUAGGUCAGCAGCUGUAUCUCUGACUGGACCCGUAGCCUGGGAACCUUCAUAAUGCUGCAGGUGCAGCCCUAAAAAAGGGCAAAAAAAAAAAAAGCUUUGGCAUUUCUACUCAAACUCACUUUAUCUUAACAAAACUCUGUGAAAUAGUAUUAAUUCCAAGGAAGAGGAUUCCUAACUUACUUAGGAGGCAAAACUGGCUUGACUUCUGGGUCUAUCUCCUACCAAGCCCUCUGUCCUGAAAGACUGCAGAUCAUCUCACAGAAGCACAGAUUCAGUCACGCUGAGUCUUGGUUCAGGCACCUCACAGUGGGACGAAUGAUAAUCACCAGACAAGAUAUUCUUUCACAAGACUGCUGUAAAGAUGAAUUACAUUUACCAAAGUGUGAAAAUGUUAAACCACCAAGAUCUUAGCGUCUCAUACUGUACACUUCCAGAAAGCAUCACUCCCACAAGCAGUGUGAGUCUUCCUGAGGCAGCAUAGGGAAUGGCAAUCAUACUGUAUUCUAUGUGAGCAGGACCUCCUAGAGCUGCACAGAUAUCCACUGUAUGUGCAUAUGCAGGUGUGUACCCAUAUAUGUAUAAAACACACUAGCUAGGCACAAUAAAACCAGAAAUUAUUAAAAUAAACAGUGACAACUGAACAAGUCCUUAACAAAAAAAAGCUAACAGAAAGCCUUCUUGCAAUAAAUAAAUAAGGCUGCUCAACUACUGUGAGACCAGUGAUUUCCCUCCCCUACCAAACCAAUUUCAUAAAGUUACAAUACAGAUAUUUAUAUAAAUCACUGUAGAAAGACAAUCUUUUUUCCAUUUCUAAUUUCUCUGAUUCAUAAAAAAAUUAUGGUUCAAAUCACUAUUUGCAGGGGGAAAAGUCCAUUAAACCAUUAAAUGGUUUAGAAGUAUCUGAAGUAAUUCUUUCACAAUGGAAUUUACAAUACAUGUUAAAUCACUAUAGACCACUGCCAGGCUUUUUCUUAAAACUAAAAUUGUGGUAACUACCUUAAUGUGUUCCAAAAUUUGAUCUAACAUUUGAGAGUAUCAAGGUGACCAAGAACUUGAAAAUCUACUCAUCAAGAGACUACAAUGACAACAUGAGACUGAGAGUGUAGGACUUAGUAGAGAAGUCACAGGGAGAAAACAUGCUACGGUUCUAAACAGUGUAAAAGUCAUUUUGUGAUGGCUAAGAUCCAGUAUUUUCAAGAAGGAAUACAAAAAUACAAUGACACAUAGUCAGAAAAGAAGUUCUGACCAUUAAUUCAGGAGCAGCAGUAGAGCCCAUCCAUCACUGACACACCUGGCCAUGCAUGUGCACAAACUACUUAACAUGCAUGUUAAGUCGAGGCCCUGCCACAGCCCUGGUCACCUGGCAAAGCAUCCAGGUCUGAGAAACUACAAGCUCUCAUAUUUUCCAGGCUUCUAUCACCAAAUAUAGGCCUUAUAUGGCAGCCAGAUUUAUAAAGCUGGACUCUCCUUGUUGGUGUUCUCAUUAAUACAGAAAUCUCUCAGAAUUCAACAGAGGAUACACAAGCCUGGGUGACUACAGUUCUGAUAAUCUGCUUCUUUUUAAUCCAUAUUUUCUAGUCUUUCUACAAUGACUUCUUACUGCUUUUAUAUGUGGCAGGGUCUGGGAUGAACAAAAACAAACUUUUUACUUUUUAUUUCUAUAAUGGCCAGCAAAAUGUGUGCAGGUGACCAAAAGAGAAUCAGAAGUGUUCGGAAAGAGUCAGUGCAAAUGAACCACAAUGAACCAAAAACACAAACUGUGUGGACCUAUGUUUAUAUUAAAAAACAAACAAAAACACUGCUUGGGAAACCUUAAUUGACUUGUUAGAGUAACCAGAUAGACAAGCUACAGAACCUUAGCAACUGUUUGUUACACUUUACAUAAUAAUAGCCUGUAUUUAUAGCACACUGGUCUAAAGGAGUCAAAGAGCAUUUACCUUGUAUCCCAUCAUUGUCUUAUUCACUUGCUAUUCCACACAAUUCUGACUAUCAUUAUUCUUACUGUUUACUUGCUAUUCAAUAGGAUUCUGACUCACACUUUUAAGAUGCAUGAAUGUUAUUGCUGUUUAUACAUAAAAUCUGAAAGGAUUCAUACCACACUGUUAAAAAGCCACUAUUAUUACCCAAUCAACCCACGAGGAACAGAUGUGGAUGGGGGAGGUUUGCUGAAGGAGGAUUUUGUUUGUUUGUUUUUUGUUUUGGUUUUUAGGGCCAUAAGUUCACAGGCUAGUGGUUGAAUGAGGGUGCAGCUGCCAGCCUAUGCCACAGCAACACACCACACCAACACGGGAUCCAAGUCGUGUCUGUGACCUACACCAUAGCUCACAGCAACUCAGGAUACUUAACCCACUGAUCGAGGCCAGGGAUCGAAUCCGAAUUCUCAUGGAUAGUAGUCGGGUUCGUUACCACUGAGCCACAAGAGGAACUCCUGAAGGAGGAAUUUUUAACCUCAUUUAUUUCAGUAGUUUAAAUCUUAUCUCUGAAAAUACAAUACUACUACAAUUUUUUUUUGUGGGGGGGGGUCUUUUUAGGGCCAGACCCUCGGCAUAUGGAGGUUCCCAGGGUAGGGGCAGAAUCAGAGCUACAGCUGCCAUCCUGCACUACAGCUCAUGGCAAUACUGGAUCCUCAACCCACUGAGCAAGGCCAGGGAUCGAACCCACGUCCUCAUGAAUCCUAGUAGGGUUCGUUACCGCUGAGCCACAAAGGGAACUCCGAAUACUACUACAAUUUAAAGCAUUAACAACCUCAUAAAAUAUACUGUAUUGAUGGCCAUGACAUUUCCUUCUCAUUCAUUCCCUGAAAAGAAUUCCUACAUUAAACAUACUAUUAGAGGCCACUGUCUGAGAGACAAGUUUUCAGACAUCAAGAAUGACUUCUAAGCACAGAACUCCCAAACGCACACAGAGCCCCCAGAGCAGACACUGGUCUCGGGAACUGCUGCCAGCCACCAGCACCAUCCCCAUGCGUGCCAGUGGACUGCCAGCCACGGACUCCAGGAAGCACCUUCCGUGAUCCCAUCCUUCCCUCCCCUCACUCACCAUUACCAUCGAGCCAAAAAAGGAAGCCACUGCAUUCCCCACCAGGAAAUACCCUCUUCAGCUUUCAAACUUUAUUUUUCCCUAAAGAGAAGGAUCUUAUUUCUUUUUAUUCUUUUUAUCUUUUAUCUAUUUCCCUCCCUUCAGUUAUCUCAAUGGCUUUAACAGAAAAAAAAAUGGAAACAAUCUAAAUAUCAAUCAGCAGGGGAUGUGCUUAAAUACAUGAUAUACAAUCUAUAUAUGCAGCAAUAUAUAGCAGAUAAUUUGAGACUGCAAAAAAAAUUUUUUAAAGAAUGAAGAAACUCGCGAAAUUCCCGUCGUGGCUUAGCAAUUAACAAAUCCAACUAGGAACCAUGAGGUUGCGGGUUCGAUCCCUGGCCUUGCUCAGUGGGUUAAGGAUCGGGCAUUGCCGUGAGCUGUGGUGUAGGUUGCAGACUCGGCUUGGAUCCCAUGUUGCUGUGGCUCUGGUCUAGGCUGGUGGCUACAGUUCUGAUUCGACCCCUAGCCUGGGAACCUCUACAUGCUGCGGGAGCAGCCCAAGAAAUGCCAAAAAGACAAAAAAAUAAAUAAAAAAAAAAUAAAGAAUGAAGAAACUCUUUAUCUACUAAUAUGGAAUUAUUACACAUACAGCGAGUGAAAACUCCAAGUGAGGAGUUCCCAUUGUGGUGCAGUGGAAACGAAUCUGGCUAGUAUCCAUGAGGAUGCAGGUUUAAUCCCUGGCCUUGCUCAAUGGGUUAAGGAUCCAGCGUUGCCAUAAGCUGUGGUGUAGGUCGCAGAUGUGGCUUGGAUCCCAUGUUGCUGUGGCUGUAGUGUAUGCCGGCAGUGGCAGCUCCCAUUCGACCCCUAGCCUGAGAACUUCCAUAUGCCUCAGAUGCAGCCCUAAAAAAAGAAAACUGAGUGAAACUGUUUACAAUAUACCUCGUCAUUACAUAACUGGAAAAAAAAAAGGGUGGUCAGAGUUCCUGUUGUGGCUCAGAGGAAACCAAUCUGACUAGGAUCCAUGAAGAUGCAGGUUCAAUCCCUGGCCUCACUCAGUGGGUCGAGGAUAUGGUGUUGCACUGAGCUGUACUGUAGGUCACAGACAUGGCUCAGACCCCGCUGUUGCUGUGGCUCUGACUCAACCUCUAGCCGUGGAACUUCCACAUGCCACAG
rnacentral:lncRNA from 1 species